AACGCACAUUGCGCCCGCCAGUAUUCUGGCGGGCAUGCCUGUUCGAGCGUCAUUUCAACCAUCAAGCCCCAGGCUUGUGUUGGAGCCCUGCGGCUGCCGCAGCCUCCCAAAACCAGUGGCGGGCUCGCUAUCACACCGAGUGCAGUAGUUUACUCUUCGCUCAGGUCGUGUGGCGGGUGCUGGCCGUGAAACCCCCUACUUCUCAAGGUUGACCUCGGAUCAGGUAGGAAUACCCGCUGAACUUAA
rnacentral:misc_RNA from 1 species